AACGAACGCUGGCGGCAUGCCUAACACAUGCAAGUCGAACGAGACCUUCGGGUCUAGUUGCGCACGGGUGCGUAACGCGUGGGAACCUGCCCUUAGGUUCGGAAUAACUCCCCGAAAGGGGUGCUAAUACCGGAUAAUGUCUUCGGACCAAAGAUUUAUCGCCUUUGGAUGGGCCCGCGUUGGAUUAGCUAGUUGGUAGGGUAAAAGCCUACCAAGGCUACGAUCCAUAGCUGGUCUGAGAGGAUGAUCAGCCACACUGGGACUGAGACACGGCCCAGACUCCUACGGGAGGCAGAAGUGGGGAAUAUUGGACAAUGGGCGAAAGCCUGAUCCAGCAAUGCCGCGUGAGUGAUGAAGGCCUUAGGGUUGUAAAGCUCUUUUACCCGGGAUGAUAAUGACAGUACCGGGAGAAUAAGCUCCGGCUAACUCCGUG
rnacentral:rRNA from 1 species